rnacentral:lncRNA from 1 species
CGGGUUCUGAUACAGAAACACAGAACAGAACAGAGAGAGAGAGACAAGAAAACUGAUGGAGAGAGACGAAGAUCGCCGGAAAGGAUCGUUCGGAUUCUGAUCCGACUGUCCUAAAGCCGAGCGAUGGUGUGUUCGGUGUGGUCUGAGUCGUGUCAGACGGACUGAAGAUGGAACGAUCGUUCUCGAUGUAGUUACUGCGGUAUACGGUGGUUACAGUCCAUGGAACGGUGCGCAAGCCGCGGGAAAGGGACCGCUGGCUUAAUCUGUGCAGUCAUUGUUGUGUACUGAUGGAUCGCGAUGCAUACUAGAGCCUGCGGUGGCUAAGAUCGAGAUGCAGUGGUCGCGGGCCUGGAGACAGCGUAUCUCUUGGGUUCGAUGUCCUGAUCUGAACAAUCCCGAUCGGACACUGUGUACGAAUUGGGUGUGGUCUGUGUGCGACAGCAUAUGCUAUCAGUCUGU